rnacentral:rRNA from 1 species
GAUGAACGCUGGCGGCGUGCCUAAUACAUGCAAGUCGAGCGAACGGACGAGAAGCUUGCUUCUCUGAUGUUAGCGGCGGACGGGUGAGUAACACGUGGAUAACCUACCUAUAAGACUGGGAUAACUUCGGGAAACCGGAGCUAAUACCGGAUAAUAUUUUGAACCGCAUGGUUCAAUAGUGAAAGACGGUCUUGCUGUCACUAAUAGAUGGAUCCGCGCUGCAUUAGCUAGUUGGUAAGGUAAAGGCUUACCAAGGGAACGAUGCAUAGCCGACCUGAGAGGCUGGUCGGCCACCCUGGAGCUGGGACGCGGUCCAGACUCCUACGAGAGGCACCAGUAUCGUAUCUUCCGCAUUGGUCGAGAGCCUUACGGAACGACGCCGAGUCAGUGAUGGAGGCCUUCGGUGCGUAAUGCUGUGUUAUUAGGGGAGAACAGAUGUGUAAGUAACUGUACACAGCUUGACGGUACCUAAUCAGAAAGCCCCGGCUAACUACGUG